CUCCCUCCCUCCGCCCCUUUGAGGCUCCCUGUGGGGCGAGGCCGCUCAACCGGCUCCCCUCGCCUAGCUGCAGCAAGUCGAGACGGGAGGGGCCUGGGUGCGGGCCGCCGGGCGGAGCCCCUAACUCUAGCAAAGUGCAGCUCCUGACCACGCCCCCGCAAAUUCUGUUAAGUACUUUCACCCCCUGACCUUUGAGGAUGGAGAAUUCUGGAACUUGAGGAAAUCGUUUUACGUUCCCAGCUACGAAGGAAAAAGAUGGUUACCCACCACCGCGGCAACACCUCUAAGUCUUAUUUCCCCACUUCCUGUCUUCAGAUUCUGAAUUUUCUCCCUUUGUUUCUCUGUUCCUUCCGUAGGUUUGAGUCAACACCUGUCAGUCAUCUUCGUAAUACCGGCUUGGAUACCUAAAGCUGCGGGGAAAAAGUAUCAGGAGAACUUUCAGAUUCUAGGUAGUGUGAUGCAUUGCUUUAUUCCUGGUCCAUUCCCUAUUUCAUCUUCCUUCCCAGACAGAGCAGAAUAGGGGUAAGUUUUGAUGACCGUUCUGGAAAGCAGAUAGAGCUUUCUCAGGAACUUUAGAUCUUUCAGAAUAGAAAUUUGAACAAGAAGGGGGAAAGGCUUGGUGGAUGGAGAGUAGGAAACUUUUAUUAGGAAUGUCAAAAUAGUGGUAAUGGGAAUAAGACCAGCAGCAGCUUCACUUUAUUAUAACUAAUUUGCAGUGGGUGGUAAAGGCAGGCACCAAGCCAGCAUCAUCACAUUAUAGAUAAUAAAUCUUUCUUCUGUGGUGGUGUUGUGAAAGAU
rnacentral:lncRNA from 1 species